UACGGAGGGGGCUAGCGUUGUUCGGAAUUACUGGGCGUAAAGCGCGCGUAGGUGGCUUUGUAAGUUAGAGGUGAAAGCCCGGAGCUCAACUCCGGAAUUGCCUUUAAGACUGCAUCGCUAGAACGUCGGAGAGGUAAGUGGAAUUCCGAGUGUAGAGGUGAAAUUCGUAGAUAUUCGGAAGAACACCAGUGGCGAAGGCGACUUACUGGACGACUGUUGACACUGAGGUGCGAAAGCGUGGGGAGCAAACAGG
rnacentral:rRNA from 1 species